rnacentral:rRNA from 1 species
ACUCCUGCGGGAGGCAGCAGUGGGGAAUAUUGGACAAUGGGCGCAAGCCUGAUCCAGCCAUGCCGCGUGAGUGAUGAAGGCCCUAGGGUUGUAAAGCUCUUUCACCGGUGAAGAUAAUGACGGUAACCGGAGAAGAAGCCCCGACUAACUUCGUGCCAGCAGCCGCGGUAAUACGAAGGGGGCUAGCGUUGUUCGGAUUUACUGGGCGUAAAGCGCACGUAGGCGGACUAUUAAGUCAGGGGUGAAAUCCCGGGGCUCAACCCCGGAACUGCCUUUGAUACUGGUAGUCUUGAGUUCGAGAGAGGUGAGUGGAAUUCCGAGUGUAGAGGUGAAAUUCGUAGAUAUUCGGAGGAACACCAGUGGCGAAGGCGGCUCACUGGCUCGAUACUGACGCUGAGGUGCGAAAGCGUGGGGAGCAAACAGGAUUAGAUACCCGGGUAGUCCCA